GCGGGAGUAACUCAGUGGUAGAGUGCCACCUUGCCAAGGUGGACGUCGAGGGUUCGAAUCCCUUCUCCCGCU
rfam:Labilithrix luteola strain DSM 27648, complete genome.